CUUGCCGACCUCCUGCUCGAUUCGCCAAACGUGGAGGACAAAACAAACCCCUGACCCUGCUCCGUUCGCCCCCUCCUCGUCCCCCUCCUUCCUGCCACUGUCUUUCUCUUCCCUCUCUCUGCCCCUCACCCGGCUCCCUGCGUAGCUGCAUCGGGCGGGCGUGGCGGGGUGGGGCGAGGAGAGGCGCGGCGCCGCGUGGCUGUGCCGGCCGGCCGGCUGAGCUGAGCGGCGGCCGGCUGAGUAGACGAGUCGGUCUGUAACCGGAGUGGAGAGUGCACCUCUCGCGGGGCUCGUCCCAAACAUCGACAAGCUCGCCGUCCUCCUCGCCGCCAGGACCACGACGAGGACACGCGCCACCCGGGUCGCCGGCUCCGCCACAUCGAAGUCACAGCGUUACAGCCCGGGCACCCUCCGCUGGCCAACACGCGGCCGGCUGCUGCAGGUCGCCGACCGGCGCGGCGCGAGUAGAGGGAAGACCAGCGCCCGCUCCGCCGACUAAGG